rnacentral:sRNA from 1 species
AGAUCACACCAGACAAUUAUAAAAGAAGAGCUGGUCCUGAAGCUCACAACCGUAACAGCCACCAGACAAGCUUCAGUGGCCGGCCCUUCACAUCCAGACUUGCCUGAGAGGACCCACCUCUGAGUGUCCAGUGGUCAGUUGCCCCAGGAUGGGGACCACAGCCAGAGCAGCCUUGGUCUUGACCUAUUUGGCUGUUGCUUCUGCUGCCUCUGAGGGAGGCUUCACGGCUACAGGACAGAGGCAGCUGAGGCCAGAGCACUUUCAAGAAGGUAAGAGUUUGGGGGAGCAGCAUGGGAUUGGGACUCCAGGAGGCACUGUGGGCUCUGAUGUCUCCCCUCUUGCUUCUAGUUGGCUACGCAGCUCCCCCCUCCCCACCCCUAUCCCGAAGCCUCCCCAUGGAUCACCCUGACUCCUCUCAGCAUGGCCCUCCCUUUGAGGGACAGAGUCAAGGUAAGGUCACCACCCCAUGCCCUCCUCAGUGACCCUCCAGGUUUCUAAUCUGGCCUAUAUCCCACUUUUCAGGUGGGAAGGAGGGAAGAGGCCCUCGCCCCCACUCCCAGCCCUGGCUAGGCGAAAGGGUGGGCUGCUCACACAUUCCCCCUUCUAUAGUGCAGCCCCCUCCCUCUCAGGAGGCCACCCCUCUCCAACAGGAAAAGCUGCUACCUGCCCAACUCCCUGCUGAAAAGGAAGGUGAGCGCUUGCCCACCCUCCCUCACCUCUAUCCCACUAUGGAUCCUGUUGACACCAGGCUGAUCCCUGCUCCUUGGUGCCCUCACCCCUAUCUUGCAGUGGGUCCCCCUCUCCCUCAGGAAGCUGUCCCCCUCCAAAAAGAGCUGCCCUCUCUCCAGCACCCCAAUGAACAGAAGGAAGGUAAGCAGCUCCCUCUCUUCUUUACCCACCUUUACCUCAUGGCCUUCCCCCAGAGCAUGGGCUUCGGGGCAGACAAGACGGUGGGCUCUGCCACUCACCAGUUGUAUAACCUUGGGUAAGUUACAUACUUCUCCAAGCCUUUGUUUCUUCAUCUGUAAAAUUGAGGACAUACCUGUUUUAGAAAGUUAUGUGAUUAGAUGUGCAAAAAUAGCAUCUAUUUUCACUUGCUUCUCUGCUGAGUUCUUCUUUGUGCAUGUAAACUAGCCAGGCUUUCUCUGCUAGAGAUGGCCAUCCCAACAUGGCUUUUGCUUACUCCUUCUACCCCAGUAGACCCACCUCUUCCAUAUCAGGAGGAGAUAAUCAUCCAAUCCAUGCCGAGAGAGGGUGAGUGACAGCUUUGGUCUGUCCAUCCUCCUGCCUUAGUGCUCAGGACCCUGGGGAGAGGAGCAGGAAGCCCGAGCCUUGAGAAGCAGCAGGAGGUGGGGGCAGGCUGUGAGCUGACACCUUUCACACCUCGCUUCUCUUUUCCUUUCAGUUAUUUUAAAAGGAAGAGCCACAAAUUGUUCUUUCUCAUUUCCCCUAUAUCCUCCCAACCCUUUCUCCUCCACCCCAGAUUCUUUCAAUCCUCCCAGCUCAUCCAGCCUUUGUGGGUUCCUUCACAUGUCCCCGCUUCCCACUGUUUUCCCCAUUCCAGGAACGCCAGCUCCAUUUGGGGACCAGAGCCAUCCAGAACCUGAGUCCUGGAAUGCAGCCCAGCACUGCCAACAGGACCGGUCUCAAGGGGGCUGGGGCCACCGGCUGGAUGGCUUCCCCCCUGGGCGGCCUUCUCCAGACAAUCUGAACCAAAUCUGCCUUCCUAACCGUCAGCAUGUGGUAUAUGGUCCCUGGAACCUACCACAGUCCAGCUACUCCCACCUCACUCGCCAGGGUGAGACCCUCAAUUUCCUGGAGAUUGGAUAUUCCCGCUGCUGCCACUGCCGCAGCCACACAAACCGCCUAGAGUGUGCCAAACUUGUGGUAAGGUUGGGUUCUUGAUGCCGGGGGGUGUCCUUUAACCCCCAGACAGUAUGUGUGUUUUAAGGGUUAGAGCACUAGGCCUGGGUCUAGAGGAACCUCAGGUCCCGUUCACUGGCCCUACCCUGGGCCUCCCCAAUGUGCCAGGGGAGCGGAGGACAACCACUGUUUCUUUUUUAUCUGCCUGCCCAGUGUCCUUUCCUGGAGCCUGGGAGGAAGGCAGGAAUGUGGAAAGUGGGCUGAUCCUCCCCUCUUGCUCUAGUGGGAGGAAGCAAUGAGCCGAUUCUGUGAGGCCGAGUUCUCGGUCAAGACCCGACCCCACUGGUGCUGCACGCGGCAGGGGGAGGCUCGGUUCUCCUGCUUCCAGGAGGAAGCUCCCCAGCCACACUACCAGCUCCGGGCCUGCCCCAGCCAUCAGCCUGAUAUUUCCUCGGGUCUUGAGCUGCCUUUCCCUCCUGGGGUGCCCACAUUGGACAAUAUCAAGAACAUCUGCCACCUGAGGCGCUUCCGCUCUGUGCCACGCAACCUGCCAGCUACUGACCCCCUACAAAGGGAGCUGCUGGCACUGAUCCAGCUGGAGAGGGAGUUCCAGCGCUGCUGCCGCCAGGGGAACAAUCACACCUGUACAUGGAAGGCCUGGGAGGAUACCCUUGACAAAUACUGUGACCGGGAGUAUGCUGUGAAGACCCACCACCACUUGUGUUGCCGCCACCCUCCCAGCCCUACUCGGGAUGAGUGCUUUGCCCGUCGGGCUCCUUACCCCAACUAUGACCGGGACAUCUUGACCAUUGACAUCAGUCGAGUCACCCCCAACCUCAUGGGCCACCUCUGUGGAAACCAAAGAAUUCUCACCAAGCAUAAACAUAUUCCUGGGCUGAUCCACAACAUGACUGCCCACUGCUGUGACCUGCCAUUUCCAGAACAGGCCUGCUGUGCAGAGGAGGAGAAAUUAACCUUCAUCAAUGAUCUGUGUGGUCCCCGACGUAACUUCUGGCGAGACCCUGCCCUCUGCUGUUACCUGAGUCCUGGGGAUGAACAGGUCAACUGCUUCAACAUGAAUUAUCUGAGGAACGUGGCUCUAGUGUCUGGAGACACUGAGAACGCCAAGGGCCAGGGGGAGCAGGGCUCAACUGGAGGAACAAAUAUCAGCUCCACCUCUGAGCCCAAGGAAGAAUGAGUCACCCCAGAGCCCUAGAGGGUCAGAUGGGGGGAACCCCACCCUGCCCCACCCCUCUGAACACUCAUUACAGUAAACACCUCUUG